GGUGAACGCUGGCGGUAGGCCUAACACAUGCCAGUCGAACGGCAGCACAGUAGAGCUUGCUCUUACGGGUGGCGAGUGGCGGACGGGUGAGGAAUACAUCGGAAUCUACUUUUUCGUGGGGGAUAACGUAGGGAAACUUACGCUAAUACCGCAUACGACCUACGGGUGAAAGCAGGGGAUCUUCGGACCUUGCGCGAUUGAAUGAGCCGAUGUCGGAUUAGCUAGUUGGCGGGGUAAAGGCCCACCAAGGCGACGAUCCGUAGCUGGUCUGAGAGGAUGAUCAGCCACACUGGAACUGAGACACGGUCCAGACUCCUACGGGAGGCAGCAGUGGGGAAUAUUGGACAAUGGGCGCAAGCCUGAUCCAGCCAUACCGCGUGGGUGAAGAAGGCCUUCGGGUUGUAAAGCCCUUUUGUUGGGAAAGAAAAGCAGCAGGUUAAUACCCCGCUGUUCUGACGGUACCCAAAGAAUAAGCACCGGCUAACUUCGUG
rnacentral:rRNA from 1 species